CCAAGAUUGACAGCACUAACCAUCGCCUUCACUUGUUUCAAGGGGGAAGCCCCUAGUCACCCCGCUCUGCGCGCACCUCCUGGCACCCCGGCGGCAAACUUCUGCGGGUCAGCGUUCCCCCGCUCGGGGCGGGACACCCCCGCAGACUUGAGUUAACGGGCUUAGCCGGCCGCGGCGCUGGGGGGCUCUGCUCUCUUGCUCCCCGGGCUGAGCUAAUUGACCCAGCAACGACUCCCCUUCCUUAAUUUUUUUUUUUUUUUAUUUGUAUCUUUCCCUUUUUUCUUUAAUGCCAUUUACUCCCGCGGCGCAGCGCACAAGGAGCCCUCCCGUGCGGUACCAUCCUGGAGCCCGCCCAGGUCACUUUCAUGAAUUCAAAAGCAAUUUACCAGUGAUUUCUGGGUGCUGGGGCUGAUUUUUUUGUGCGUAUUUAGAUUUAAUUGGCCAAAUUUCAUAAAACUCUGAGAUGAGAGAGAGCCAAGGAUAUCUGGC
ensembl:lncRNA